AGUCCACUGUUUCCCAACAAAAAAGGCAUUCAGGCCGAGAGCGAUGGCUCCCCGGGCCCUGGCGAGCCCGCUUCAGGACGGUGAAUGGACGCCGCUCCCACGUCAAUGGCCUCUGUGGGAAAGACAAUGAUGUCACCGCGAAGAAUAGAUACCUGGAUGACCUUAAUCUUCUUUAUUGAAACCAUUAAAAUACUGGAAGGUAGAUGACACGUAGAUAGUACCAUUGAGCCUCGCUCUCAAGUUGGCACAGAAGAAGGAACCCACAGAGUCUAAAUAAAAACGGAAGCAGAAACCUGGGAAAUAAGCAGGAAGUGUAAGAAGCAAGGUUGGUUUUGCCUUGGGAUUUUAUUGGAAACUGGAGGCCUUGAGUUUCUGCUUUGCUAUGACACAGAAGCACGUGGGCCUGCUCCAUGUGAAGAAUCUCAGAAGACACCGUCCCUCAUAAAGCUGAGAUCCUGAAGGAGUAAAGACACUGUCCGGAGAGGAAAUGAAUUGAUCUCAAUUCUGAAACUCUCUGGGGUGGGGGGAACCUCUCCGAAGAAUGCAUGCCCUCACACAAUACAGCCCCAGAUCACAGCAUUCGUGUGGAAAGAAGGAAAGAAGGUAGGAAGGAAACUUGAAGCGGACCCAGGUUGGUGAGGUUCUAGGCCACGGGCAGAAGCAGAUUCAAAUCCUAGCUGAGUGCCACCAGGUAGGAAAUAUCCCGACAUUUAAGUGCAGGGAAAAUAACUAGCUGACAUUUUGAAAUGCAUAAAACUCAGAAGGAAACAAUGUCCCAUGUGUGAGAACGGCAGCAAAAGAAAAUCCAAAAGCACUCAAAAUGGGAAUUAUCGGAAUCAAAAUUAUAUUUUACAUGCUUCAAGAAAUAAGAGUUUGACAAUAUGAAAGGGUUGCAAGAGUUUAUUUAAAACCACGGAAAUCUGAAAAAGAAUGACAUCACAAUUUCACUGUCUACAAAUGAAAUUUAAAUUAAAUUAGUGGAUUAAACAGCAGAUUGGAGAAAGUUGAUAAAAAAAAGAAUUAGCAAACUGUCAGAACUGAAGAGAUCAUCCUGAAAGCAGCAACAAAGGAAAAAAAAAAAAAAAAAGAUGAGAAACAUAACAGAAGGGUUAAGCACUGAGAAGAAAGUGAAAAGUUUUAACUCUGUCUCACUACAGACCCAGAAGGAGAAAAUAAAGGGUAAGAAUUAAUAUUCAAAAGACAGUGGCAAUGGCUGUGAGCACUCUCCAAUUGUAACUUAGCAAUUCUGACAUCGGGAAACCGAGGGAGUUCCGAUCAACAGAAAUGGCAAUCAAACUCGUCAUGAAUUUGCUGAAGAGUCAAAAGCAAAGAGGGAAAGACAGAUCACCACAGACACAUAGCAAGCAGACUGAUGACUGAUUUCUCAACAGUAAGAACAGAAGCCAUGAGGCUUUGUAAUUAAUAUCUUCCAAGUGCUGAUAGAAAAUAAUUGUCAAUCUCAAUGCCCGUAUCUUUCAGGAAUGAAAGCACCAUACAGAUAACAUUCAACAAGUCAGAAUUGAGUUAGUCACCAGCAGACGCACACAGGAGAGGCAGAAGGAAAGAGACUUCAGCUGGAGUGUGUGAGAUGCGGUCACAUGACAGGGUGUGAGGACUUGCUGACCGAACCUCAGACCCGCAUGGGACCGCUAAUCUCGGAGAGCUGAGAAGCUUGACUCAUGGUCUCUGGCACCUGGAUGCCUUACUGUGUAUCAGCAGGAGGACAAAAAGGAGCUUCUUAAACCUCAUUAUAGCAUCUACAUGGUCCAGACCUGACCCAUUUUUCAUAUUACUCUUUCUCCCAUGAUACUUACCUCCUCCACAUCACCACAUAAUUUAGUUAUUGUUAUGCUGAUCGGUUAUUUUCCAUCGUCACUGCUACUUUUGCUAAAAUUUAAGCUCUGGGAUGUUUGUUGGCUUCGUUUGCUGGCUAAUGCUAACAUGUGUGAAUAUGUGUGGACGGAAUGAAAAGUUACAAGUAUUUUCUUUAAAAUAGACCAAAACAAGUAAACACAGUAAAACAGACACAGAAAUUAAAGACCCAAUAUAAGAAACCAAAUGGUCCAUAUUUUUAGAAAACACAAUUAUCUACAGAAGUCUCAAAAGAUCUACAGGCAAAUUAUUAUAAUUAAUAAGAAUAUUUGCUACAAAGUGUACAAAAUCAAUACACAAAGGAAUAAUAGUAUCUACUCUAGAGCAACACAAAGUUAUUUAAAUAAUUAAGAAGAUACCAUUUUAAAUACAAAGAGAAAACAUGUAAGACCUGAGAAUGAACUUAAACGUUUUAAGCAUUCUAUGGAAAUACUGUCUCAUGAAAGAUGUAUAAGGCAUUUAAAAACAGCUAUCAAAGAAUAUCUAAAUAAAAGAAGAGAGAUGCCAAAUUUUUAAUUAAAAAAUAUAAUGUUCAACAUAUAUCAGUGCUACACAAAUGGAUCUAUGAGUUCAUUGCAAGUCCAAUACAUUUCCCAACAGAAGUUUUCACAGAUUUCACAAACUAUUUCUAAAACUUAAUAGGAAGAACAAAUGGCAAGGAUCACGAAUGCCCCUUUGAAGAACAAGGUAGAAAUAACUGCCUUACUAGACAUCAAGGCUUGUUAUAAAGUAAAAUUAAUUAAGUAACAAAUACUUAAUAAAAUAGUAACAAUCAA